UGAAAGGCUUGAGUACAGAAGAGGAAAGCGGAAUUCCACGUGUAGCGGUGAAAUGCGUAGAGAUGUGGAGGAACACCAGUGGCGAAGGCGGCUUUCUGGUCUGUAACUGACGCUGAGGCGCGAAAGCGUGGGGAGCAAACAGGAUUAGAUACCCUGGUAGUCCACGCCGUAAACGAUGAGUGCUAAGUGUUAGGGGGUUUCCGCCCCUUAGUGCUGCAGCUAACGCAUUAAGCACUCCGCCUGGGGAGUACGGUCGCAAGNCUGAAACUCAAAGGAAUUGA
rnacentral:rRNA from 1 species